AUUGAACGCUGGCGGCAGGCCUAACACAUGCAAGUCGAGCGAGCGGCGGACGGGUGAGUAAUGUCUGGGAAACUGCCUGAUGGAGGGGGAUAACUACUGGAAACGGUAGCUAAUACCGCAUACCAUCAGAUGUGCCCAGAUGGGAUUAGCUAGUAGGUGGGGUAACGGCUCACCUAGGCGACGAUCCCUAGCUGGUCUGAGAGGAUGACCAGCCACACGGUAACUGAGACACGGUCCAGAAUCCUACGGAAGGCAGAAGUGGGGAAUAUUGCACAAUGGGCGGAAGCCAGAUGCAGCCAUGCCGAGUGUGUGAAGAAGGCCUUCUGGUUGUAAAGCACUUUCAGCGGGGAGGCGGUACCCGCAGAAGAAGCACAGGCUAACUCCGUGCCAGCAGCCACGGUAAUUC
rnacentral:rRNA from 1 species